AAAGUCGUAACAAGGUUUCCGUAGGUGAACCUGCGGAAGGAUCAUUAAUGAAUAUCUAUGGCGUGUUGUUGCUGGCUCUUAGGAGCAUGUGCACACCGUCAUUUUUAUCUUUCCACCUGUGCACUUUAUGUAGAUCUGGAUAACACUCGCUUUCGAGCGGAAACAGAGGUUGCUGUGUCGAAAGGCCGGCUUCCUUUGAAUUUCCAGGUCUAUGUACUUUAUACACCCCAAUUGAAAAAUGCAGAAUGAAGUCAAUGGGCUCUAAGCCUAUAAAACAAAUACAACUUUCAGCAACGGAUCUCUUGGCUCUC
rnacentral:misc_RNA from 1 species